GACGAACGCUGGCGGCGUGCUUAACACAUGCAAGUCGAACGGAAAGGCCCUGCUUUUGUUGGGUGCUCGAGUGGCGAACGGGUGAGUAACACGUGAGUAACCUUCCCUUGACUUUGGGAUAACUUCAGGAAACUGGGGCUAAUACCGGAUAGGAGCUCCUGCUGCAUGGUGGGGGUUGGAAAGUUUCGGCGGUUGGGGAUGGACUCGCGGCUUAUCAGCUUGUUGGUGGGGUAGUGGCUUACCAAGGCUUUGACGGGUAGCCGGCCUGAGAGGGUGACCGGACACAGUGGGACUGAGAUACGGCACAGACUCAUACGGGAGGCAGCAGUGGGGAAUAUUGCACAAUGGGCGGAAGCCUGAUGCAGCAACGCCGCGUGCGGGAUGACGGCCUUCGGGUUGUAAACCGCUUUCGCCUGUGACGAAGCGUGAGUGACGGUAAUGGGUAAAGAAGCACCGGCUAACUACGUG
rnacentral:rRNA from 1 species